rnacentral:rRNA from 1 species
AGUGAACGCUGGCGGUAGGCCUAACACAUGCAAGUCGAACGGCAGCACAGUAAGAGCUUGCUCUUACGGGUGGCGAGUGGCGGACGGGUGAGGAAUACAUCGGAAUCUACUUUUUCGUGGGGGAUAACGUAGGGAAACUUACGCUAAUACCGCAUACGACCUACGGGUGAAAGCAGGGGAUCUUCGGACCUUGCGCGAUUGAAUGAGCCGAUGUCGGAUUAGCUAGUUGGCGGGGUAAAGGCCCACCAAGGCGACGAUCCGUAGCUGGUCUGAGAGGAUGAUCAGCGACACUGGAACUGGGACACGGUCCAGACUCCUACGGGAGGCAGCAGUGGGGAAUAUUGGACAAUGGGCGCAAGCCUGAUCCAGCCAUACCGCGUGGGUGAAGAAGGCCUUCGGGUUGUAAAGCCCUUUUGUUGGGAAAGAAAAGCAGCAGGUUAAUACCCCGCUGUUCUGACGGUACCCAAAGAAUAAGCACCGGCUAACUUCGUG